UGGGGGUCGGCAGCUGCCCUCCAACAGCCACUGCCUCUCCCAGGGCAGAGGCAGAACUUACUUCUAGGGCCUGGUUUCCCUCGAGUCCAGUUGCAAAGAGGGCCAGAAUGGCAGGCAUUGAAUUGAAGUGAGAACUGAAUGUGGCUGGAAAGCUGACUCCCAUCUGUGUGAGAGAGAAGGG
rnacentral:lncRNA from 1 species